rnacentral:rRNA from 1 species
CCUACGGGGUGCAGCAGUCGAGAAUUAUUCACAAUGGGGGAAACCCUGAUGGUGCGACGCCGCGUGGGGGAAUGAAGGUCUUCGGAUUGUAAACCCCUGUCAUGUGGGAGCAAAUUAAAAAGAUAGUACCACAAGAGGAAGAGCCGGCUAACUCUGUGCCAGCAGCCGCGGUAAUACAGAGGUCUCAAGCGUUGUUCGGAAUCACUGGGCGUAACGCGUGCGUAGGCUGUUUCGUAAGUCGUGUGUGAAAGGCGCGGGCUCAACCCGCGGACGGCACAUGAUACUGCGAGACUAGAGUAAUGGAGGGGGAACCGGAAUUCUCGGUGUAGCAGUGAAAUGCGUAGAUAUCGAGAGGAACACUCGUGGCGAAGGCGGGUUCCUGGACAUUAACUGACGCUGAGGCACGAAGGCCAGGGGAGCGAAAGGGAUUAGAUACCCGGGUAGUC